AGGACUAACGCUGGCGGCGUGCCUAACACAUGCAAGUCGAGCGGGGUAGCAAUACCCAGCGGCAGACGGGUGAGUAACGCGUGGUCAACCUUCCGUUGAAUGGGGGAUAACUAGCCGAAAGGUUAGCUAAUACCGCAUACGAUCUUUUGAAGGCAUCUUUAAAAAGAUGAAAGGAGCAAUUCGUUCAACGACGGGACCGCGUCCCAUUAGCUAGAUGGUGGGGUAAUGGCCUACCAUGGCAACGAUGGGUAGCUGGUUUGAGAGAGCGACCAGCCACACUGGGACUGAGAAACGGCCCAGACUCCUACGGGAGGCAGCAGUGAGGAAUUUUCCGCAAUGGGCGAAAGCCUGACGGAGCGACGCCGCGUGUGGGAAGAAGGCCUUCGGGUCGUAAACCACUGUCGAAGGGGACGAUAAUGACGGUACCCUUGGAGGAAGCCCCGGCUAACUACGUGCCAGCAGCCGC
rnacentral:rRNA from 1 species